UACGAAGGGGGCGAGCGUUGUUCGGAAUUACUGGGCGUAAAGGGCGCGCAGGCGGCUCAGACAGUCAGAUGUGAAAGCCCCGGGCUUAACCUGGGAACUGCAUUUGAUACUACUGAGCUUGAGUACGGGAGAGGAUAGUGGAAUUCCCAGUGUAGAGGUGAAAUUCGUAGAUAUUGGGAAGAACACCGGUGGCGAAGGCGGCUAUCUGGACCGUAACUGACGCUGAGGCGCGAAAGCGUGGGGGAGCAAACAGG
rnacentral:rRNA from 1 species